rnacentral:snoRNA from 1 species
GCAAGUGCUUAACCUUCAGUAACAUAAUCUUAAGAAAGACUAGCUCUCCCCUCGGGCUCUGUCCAGGUGGUGCCAGGGGAGCACAGGGCUCCACCCAGGGAUGUGCAGUCCCAUUCCACAACGUUGGCGACGAAGUCAGGCUCUUGAGCCUGCACCUGCACAUUCCUACAGCUUCUCAGAGUGCUACCGACAGUGACUGAGGAGACAAACCAUGCAGGAAACAAUU